rnacentral:rRNA from 1 species
GGAUUGUAAACUUCUUUUAUCUGGGAYGAAAAAWGGCGAUUCUUCGUCACUUGACGGUACCAGAUGAAUAAGCACCGGCUAACUCCGUGCCARCAGCCGCGGUAAUACSGAGGGUGCAAGCGUUAUCCGGAUUCACUGGGUUUAAAGGGUGCGUACGCGGGCAGGUAAGUCAGUGGUGAAAUCCUGGAGCUUAACUCCAGAACUGCCAUUGAUACUAUCUGUCUUGAAUAUUGUGGAGGUAAGCGGAAUAUGUCAUGUAACGGUGAAAUGCUUAGAUAUGACAUACAACACCUAUUGCGAAGGCAGCUUACUACACAUAUAUUGACGCUGAGGCACGAAAGCGUGGGGAUCAAACAGGAUUAGAUACCCUGGUAGUCCACGCCCUAAACGAUGGAUACUCCACAUACGCGAUACACUGUGUGUGUCUGAACGAAAGCAUUAAGUAUCCCACCUGGGAAGUACGACCGCAAGGUUGAAACUCAAAUGAAUUU